GCCCUCGUACCCCGACACCAUUGUCUUCUCCCGCCAUGGACGACUCUGCGUCGAGCAAUGAGGACAUUGAAAACCAGAUGCCUGGUGGUAUGUCUUUAGUACGCCUGUGUCUAACUAUGUCAAUAGUUGUGGAGAUGCGGUACUGCUUAAUGCUCCACUCAAAAGAACGAGGCCUGUUUUAGGCUUGAGAGACCGGAGUGCCGGGGAUUCAUUCACCCACGUUGGCGAAUACGGCUUGGAGUAUGUAAUAUCAUGGGUCGAUGGCUGUGUUAUUUUGAAUGUUAAAGAUUGUGCUACAGAGUGGCGGUUGAACGUUCACGAAUGGAAUUUUUUCUUGGAGAAUUUAUGCCCCAUGCUAGACGGCGUCCGGGGUACAUGGCAGGCGGGAACCCAUGUAUUCCAAUGGACCUUUCAGUAUGAAUCGAGGAUUCAUCGCAUGGAUGCAAACUAUCAUACGAAGAGACCACAGGAGUUCAUUUUUUUCAGACGCUGUGUUGAUACAGACGAGCUACCACAGUGCUAUGAUAUGCAUUGCGUCGGUAGCUCUCCUCUACGCACCAGUGUUUUAGAAGCUGCUGAUUAUUUUGAUAAUGUCUUUUUCAUGCAGUGGGCUGAUUUGUCUGCACUAUGUGGAAUUUUUGCAGAGAUUGAUUCUAUGGCUAAGACGAAUGAAGAACCAUGGAGCACAGCUGAUGAUGAAUGCCGAAUGUGCCUGUUUGAGUCGUCUGGGUUUGAUGAGGGGGUACAUGCACAGGUCAAUGAUGAACAUGUGCAAGGUGGGGGUGUGGCUAUGGAGACUGCUGAUUUAAAGGCUGUACAACCCGGACCCCACUGGCUUCAAGAGUAUGCCAUCUAUCUGACCGGAUUGAAUCUGACCUUCCUACACGUCGGAGAGGACAGUGAGCUGGAGGUGGACACUGCUAUGAGAGACGACGGAUGGCCUGUAUCAAUACAGAUCCGUUUAAACCCUGCAUCGCUGGCUGUUCUGCGAUUUACCACGGGGCUCUGUGUGGUGGCCAUCAUCAACCAUCAGAAGCAAGCGGACUGCUGGGGAUGCCAGUGUGAUUGCCCAAGUCAACGACGCCAUUCAUGCCUGCAGGGAGCGACACAUCAUCACUACGAAUCCCACUACCAUGACAUUUGUGUCAUCCUGGACAGACACCCCUUCCUGUUACUUUUAGAAACUGUUCUAAAGAAGACUACAGGGUUGACUGUGUCCCCCGGAAAAAUCUAUGGUGUGGUCGAAUCUUAUCUAUGUGAUUUAAUAUGCAAUACCUAUAAUACCGAAAAACUGGAUUUAAUGACCACCGAAGGUGUGUCCGAUGAACAUCUGCUUCUGAUACAUGAAGCCAUACAAAUGUGGCGUCCUACAUUAUCAUUAGGCAAACCAAAGCCUGCUGGUGGGUGGCGUUUAUAAUGGGGGUGUUGUUUUCAUAUGCGUAUGAUGCGGAUAUCAAGUAUGUAUCAGAUAGACUAUCCGUUUUGAUGUAUGCUGCCAUAGAAAAUGAUACAUAUGUCCAGCAUAAUGCUUAUAUCAAAUGCACGUAUAAGGGUUGGAAUGAUCUGGUCAUGAAAUUCUUGUAUGAUAAACCUACUGAUCAAAUGUUAGCUGAAAUAUUUACCCAUUUCCCCGAUGGUGACUGUUUUACCAUCGGACAUGUCAUGUGUAUAUGUGCUUUUGUAUCGGAUGUCUUGAAGUUGAAUAAUGCCUCAAACGCCGAGGGUAUUAGAACUGCUAGAAUGAUGGCUUGUAAAAUGGUGCAG
rnacentral:lncRNA from 1 species